rnacentral:tRNA from 1 species
GCCCGCGCGGUGUGAUGGUCGCAUAGAAGCCUGUGGAGCUUUUGGACCGGGUUCGAUUCCCGGCGUGGGCA